CCGGUGCGGCUCGGGUGUUGAUCCGCCGGUCCCCUCCGCUCCCCUCCCCCGUCUCCUCCGGCCCGGCAGAGCCAUGUCUCGGGGUGGCUCCUGCCCACACCUGUUGUGGGACGUGAGGAAAAGGUCGCUCGGGCUGGAGGACCCGUCCCGGCUGCGGAGCCGCUACCUGGGAAGAAGAGAAUUUUUCCAAAGAUUAAAACUUGAAGCCACCUUAAAUGUGCAUGAUGGCUGUGUUGAUACAAUCUAUCUGUUGGAAUGACGCUGGAGAAUAUAUUUUAUCUGGCUCAGAUGACACCAAAUUAGCAAUUAGUAAUCCUUAUAUCAGAAAGGUUUUGACAACAUUCCUUCGGGGCAUCGAGCAAAUAUGUUUAGUGCAAAGUUCUUACCUUGCACGAAUGAUAAACAGAUUGUGUCCUGCUCCGGAGAUGGAGUGAUAUUUUAUACCAAUGUGGAGCAAGAUGCGGAAAGUAACAGGCAGUGCCAGUUUACGUGCCAUUAUGGAACUACGUAUGAGAUCAUGACUGUACCAAAUGACCCUUACACUUUUCUGUCUUGUGGUGAAGACGGGACUGUCCGGUGGUUUGAUACCCGCAUCAAAACUAGCUGCACCAAGGAAGACUGCAAAGAUGUAAGAAUUCAACUUUUGUACAGUAUGAUGCAGAGUAAACUAAGAUUAUAUUUGGAUUGUAAAUUAUUUCUUAGUAAUGAAAUUAUGAAUUAAUAUUUUAAAACUUAUUUUGAAGGCCCGACAAGAUAAC